GCGGGCGUGGCGGAACUGGUAGACGCGCUGGUUUUAGGUACCAGUAUCUUACGAUGUGGGGGUUCGAGUCCCUUCGCCCGCACCA
rnacentral:tRNA from 1 species